CUACGGGGGGCAGCAGUGGGGGAAUAUUGGACAAUGGGGGAAACCCUGAUCCAGCAAUGCCGCGUGUGUGAAGAAGGCCUGCGGGUUGUAAAGCACUUUCGGUUGGGAGGACUGCUUCUAGCACUAAUAUUGUUGGAAGUUGACGUUACCUUCAGAAGAAGCACCGGCUAACUCCGUGCCAGCAGCCGCGGUAAUACGGGGGUGCAAGCGUUAAUCGGAAUUACUGGGCGUAAAGCGCGCGUAGGCGGCUAGAUCAGUCGGGUGUGAAAGCCCCGGGCUUAACCUGGGAACUGCAUCCGAUACUGUCUAGCUUGAGUACAGGAGAGGAGAGUGGAAUUCCACAUGUAGCGGUGAAAUGCGUAGAUAUGUGGAGGAACACCAAUGACGAAGGCAGCUCUCUGGCCUGAUACUGACGCUGAGGUGCGAAAGCGUGGGGAGCAAACAGGAUUAGAUACCCCUGUAGUC
rnacentral:rRNA from 1 species